rnacentral:rRNA from 1 species
CCUACGGGAGGCAGCAGUGAGGAAUAUUGGUCAAUGGACGAGAGUCUGAACCAGCCAAGUAGCGUGAAGGAUGACUGCCCUAUGGGUUGUAAACUUCUUUUAUAUGGGAAUAAAAUGUUCCACGUGUGGGAUUUUGUAUGUACCAUAUGAAUAAGGAUCGGCUAACUCCGUUCCAGCAGCCGCGGUAAUACGGAGGAUCCGAUCGUUAUCCGGAUUUAUUGGGUUUAAAGGGAGCGUAGGUGGAUUGUUAAGUCAGUUGUGAAAGUUUGCGGCUCAACCGUAAAAUUGCAGUUGAAACUGGCAGUCUUGAGUACAGUAGAGGUGGGCGGAAUUCGUGGUGUAGCGGUGAAAUGCUUAGAUAUCACGAAGAACUCCGAUUGCGAAGGCAGUUCACUGGACUGCAACUGACACUGAGGCUCGAAAGUGUGGGUAUCAAACAGGAUUAGAUACCCCAGUAGUC